rnacentral:rRNA from 1 species
UACAGAGGGUGCGAGCGUUAAUCGGAAUUACUGGGCGUAAAGCGUGCGCAGACGGUUGCGUAAGUCAGAUGUGAAAGCCCCGGGCUCAACCUGGGAAUGGCAUUUGGGACUGCAAGGCUUGAGUGCGGCAGAGGAGACUGGAAUUCCUGGUGUAGCAGUGAAAUGCGUAGAUAUCAGGAGGAAUACCGAUGGCGAAGGCAGGUCUCUGGGCUGACACUGACGCUCAUGCACGAAAGCGUGGGGAGCAAACAGG